rnacentral:rRNA from 1 species
GAUGAACGCUAGCGCCAGCAGGCUUAACACAUGCAAGUCGAGGGGUAUAGGUUUUCGGACCUAGAGACCGGCGCACGGGUGCGUAACGCGUAUGCAAUCUACCUUUUACGGCAGAGGGAUAGCCCAGAGAAAUUUGGAUUAAUACCUCAUAGUAUUAUUGAAUGGCAUCAUUUAAUAAUUAAAGUCACAACGGUAAAAGAUGACCAGCAUGCGUCCCAUUAGCUUGUUGGUAAGGUAACGGCUUACCAAGGCAACGAUGGGUAGGGGUCCUGAGGGGGAGAUCCCCCACACUGGUAUGACUGAGACACGGACCAGACUCCUACGGGAGGCAGCAGUGAGGAAUAUUGGUCAAUGGGCGCAAGCCUGAACCAGCCAUGCCGCGUGCAGGAUGGGGACGGUCCUAUGGAUUGUAAACUGCUUUUGUACAGGAAGAAACAGUUCUACGUGUAGAACCUUGACGGUACUGUAAGAAUAAGGAUCGGCUGCAAACUCCGUGCCAGCAGCCGCGGUAAUACGGAGGAUCCAAGCGUUAUCCGGAAUCAUUGGGUUUAAAGGGUCCGUAGGCGGUUUUGUAAGUCCCCAGUGGUGAAAGCCCAUCGCUCAACGGUGGAACGGCCAUUGAUACUGCAAGACUUGAAUUAUUAGGAAGUAACUAGAAUAUGUAGUGUAGCGACAGUGAAAUGCUUAGAGAUUACAUGGAAUACCAAUUGCGAAGGCAGGUUACUACUAAUGGAUUGACGCUGAUGGACGAAAGCGUGGGGAGCGAGUAACGGGAUUAGAUACCCUGGUAGUCCACGCCGUAAACGAUGGAUACUAGCUGUUCGGAGCAAUCUGAGUGGCUAAGCGAAAGUGAUAAGUAUGUCCCCACCUGGGGAGUACGUUCGCAAGAAUGAAACUCAAAGGAAUUGACGGGGGCCCGCACAAGCGGUGGAGCAUGUGGUUUAAUUCGAUGAUUUCACGCGAGGAACCUUACCAAGGUUUGACAUGGACGGAAAUCUCGCAGAGAUGCGGGGUCCUUCGGGGCCGUUCACAGGUGGUGCAUGGCUGUCGUCGUCAGCUCGUGUCGUGAGAUGUUGGGUUAAGUCCCGCAACGAGCGCAACCCUCGUUCCAUGUUGCCAGCGGGUUAUGCCGGGGACUCAUGUGAGGAGACUGCCGGGGUCAACUCGGAGGAAGGUGGGGAUGACGUCAAGUCAUCAUGCCCCUUAUGUCCAGGGCUUCACGCAUGCUACAAUGGCUCGCGGUACAAUGGGCUGCGAUACCGUGAGGUGGAGCGAAUCCCAAAAAGCCGGUCUCAGUUCGGAUCGGGGUCUGCAACUCGACCCCGUGAAGAUUUCGGAGUCGCUAGUAAUCGCAGAUCAGCAACGCUGCGGUGAAUACGUUCCCGGGCCUUGUACACACCGCCCGUCACGUCACGAAAGUCGGCGGUAACACCCGAAGCCCAUGGCCCAACCCGUAAGGGAGGGAGUGGUCGAAGGUGGGGCUGGCGAUUGGGACG